AUUGUAGAGGCAUACACAGAACAAACAGGGCAGAGAGGUGGAGUGCAGCCCCUUCCCUUGGGGUCUCAGAGAGUGCAUCUGUUGGUCACAGGUGAAAUGGUGUCUGACCACUGGCUCCCGGAAAGGGAAUAUUUAUUGGAAGUUUGUUCUCUUUCCACUUGGCUGGCUGCUUUAAGAUACAAGUUGAGUAAAACCAGUGCUACUCCUGGUCUGCUGGGAAUUUCAGGCUAGUAAGGUUGUUAUGAAGAUUAAAUAAGAUAACAUAAAUGUACUCCGCAGAUGUGAUUAAAUUCAGGAGCUCGACAUGAAGGGAUUAACCUGUCUUAUCUGGGUG
rnacentral:lncRNA from 10 species